UACGUAGGGGGCAAGCGUUGUCCGGAAUCAUUGGGCGUAAAGAGCGUGUAGGCGGCCAGAUAAGUCCGCUGUGAAAACUCGAGGCUCAACUUCGAGCUGUCGGCGGAAACUAUCUGGCUAGAGUCCGGAAGAGGAGAGUGGAAUUCCUGGUGUAGCGGUGAAAUGCGCAGAUAUCGGGAGGAACACCAAUGGCGAAGGCAGCUCGCUGGGACGGUACUGACGCUGAGGCGCGAAAGCGUGGGGAGCAAACAGG
rnacentral:rRNA from 1 species